rnacentral:rRNA from 1 species
GACGAACGCUGGCGGCGUGCUUAACACAUGCAAGUCGAACGGAAAGGCCCUGCUUUUGUGGGGCGCUCGAGUGGCGAACGGGUGAGUAACACGUGAGUAACCUGUCCUUGACUUUGGGAUAACUCCAGGAAACUGGGGCUAAUAUCGGAUAGGAGCUCCUGCUGCAUGGUGGGGGUUGGAAAGUUUCGGCGGUUGGGGAUGGACUCGCGGCUUAUCAGCUUGUUGGUGGGGUAGUGGCUUUCCAAGGCUUUGACGGAUAGCCGGCCUGAGAGGGUGACCGGCCACAUUGGGACUGAGAUACGGCCCAGACUCCUACGGGAGGCAGCAGUGGGGAAUAUUGCACAAUGGGCGGAAGCCUGAUGCAGCAACGCCGCGUGCGGGAUGACGGCCUUCGGGUUGUAAACCGCUUUCGCCUGUGACGAAGCGUGAGUGACGGUAAUGGGUAAAGAAGCACCGGCUAACUACGUG